UUUAGGAGAUGCUGUCCUUUUUGUCCUGCCUUGCUCCUGGGAUGCUGACCGCCGGCCUGUCAGCUUUCGGAGAAACAGGAAACGCUCGCAGGCUGGUCCACCCUUGGCACUCUUGGUUAUUUCCAGGUCCAGAAAGCAAUGUAAAACUCAUCCUGUUACGGCCUCACAUACAGUAUAUUGCAGCCAACAGGAAUUCAGUCAACUUUAGGACAUCCCAGCUGUACAUGUUACAUCAAGUCACCAGCUCACUGAUGCUAACCACGGCAUAAUUUGGUCUGGAGGAGACCGGAAGAAUUGAGAGAGUUCAAGACUUGUCCGCUUAACCAUUUGAGAGCAAACCUGAUGUUAGGAUCGUGAUUUUGCAAGACUGAUAUUAGAAUUCUGCCUCCAGGCCAGUGCUGAAGUGAGCAUCACUUACUGGCUCUGGUCAUAUUCCUGCACGAUUCAUGGGUUUCCCAGCGGGCUGGGAGGAAGAAGAGUUUUCUCUCUCCUUUGCUGGUAGCUUCCUCUCAAGAAUCCUCCCCUUGGACUGGAUCAGUUCGCUGGAGCCUCCCUCCUGGUGGCAGGAGUCUUUUUGCACCAAAGCCUGGUGAGUUUCCUGUGCAUUUACAGCAACUCUAUCAGUUACUUUGCAAACACUCUUAUGAGGUACCUUUCCAACUUUCCCGAUACAGAAAUUUUCUGAAAUAGAAGAACUGGUGGGAAAUGGCUUCUCAGAGUAAAAUGUGACAGCCAGGGUGGCUUGAGGUUAACACACAGCAGCAGAAGACAAUGGCAAUGGUUGAGAAUCUUCAAAUAUCUUCAGCAAAUGAGGAGGCUCACCCUGAACAGUUUGGUGAGAAAGAGCAUCCGAGGCAAAAGGGGUAGAAUUUGAGUCCAGCACGGCCACCUUUCUUGGUAGCAUCACCUCAGACAAGUUACUACCAUGCUCUGAACCUCAGUUUCCUCAUCUGUGAAAUAGGGAUCAUAAUUCUGUGCAUGCCCCCCCAUAGUGAUCUCAUACCUAAAAUACCUGACAUUUAGCCACUGUUUGAGAAAUGAAUGAUAUCUGUUAUUCUUAUUCACCAUUAACUGGAUUACAUGGGUACUUUGCAGUGGGAAUUGUUAUUGUAUCUAAGGCUUGUCAAUUACAGGUAAUAUGUAAAGCUUUUUUUUUUUUUUUUUUUUUUUUUUUGCUUUUUAGGGCCAUAUCCUUGGCAUAUGGAGGUUCCCAUGCUAGGGACUGAAUCAGAGCUGCAGCUGCUGGCCUAUGCCACAGCCAUAACAAUGCAGGAUCCGAGCCAUGUCUGCGACCUACACCAUAGCUCAAGGCAAUGCCAGAUCCUUAACCCACUGAGCAAGGCCAGGGCUUGAAAGUAAAACCUCAUGGUUACUAGUCGGAUUCGUUUCUGCUGCACCACAACAGGAACUCCUAAAACUUGUUUUUUGAUCCUCCUCCACUUCCUCUGUGCUCCCCUUGUACAGUUUCCUCUGUAAACACCCUGUUAGCCCACCGCCAGCCCCCACCUGUCAUUGCUCAUGGAUUCGUGUCUUGGAAUCUUUUAAUUGAUCAAAGUGCGCCUGUCAUGUGUCCUCAUAUUCCUCAAGACCUUAAUCUAGGCCUAAUGACUAAUCGGAUUAAGGGCAAAAUUAUCCCCUCAUGCCCCCUCAUUUACUGUCUACAUUAACAUGACUUUAUUCUUCCACUGUUCAUUGCAGUCUCACUGUAUUCUUCCAGGACAUCCUUGGCCAGGCAAAUAACUUGGUUGCUCAUUACAGGAAUUUCCUGAAAGACCCAUUAACUCUUUACUAGGAAGCAUCAACAGAUAAUUCAUGCUUGAGGUAUGUCAAAUCCCUCGCGUCAAAAUUCUCACCUUGCUGUUUGCAACCCCAAACUGCUGUGUGAUGAAAUUGCCCCAAGCCCAAUCAAGCCCCUGUAUUCAAAGACCCGCUGUGAACGAACCUUGAAGUUCUUGUUGAGAUUCGAUCUUGCCAUGCCUCGUUCUGGGUGCUGUGGGUGCUACGAGCAAAGGGCCUAGUGCAAAGAUUCCUUGGGGACCAUUUCAGACCUGGGAAGGAUGUCCUACAUCCCAGACAGACUCUUCUGUGGUGAAUCUCCUGGUGGUAGAUUCCUAGUUCCCACCUCAAAGAGGUGAAAGCUUCUUAUUCCUUUCUACUUGUAAAAUACAUGGUAUUUGCAUAUCUAUGGCUUAGCCGUCCCUUCAAACUAGGGGUUUAUUCUGUGUUUGUGGAAGAGAACAACUGAAUUGAGUGCAAAUACGCAGAAAGGUUUUUGAAGUCCAGGCUGCCCACUUGGCUGAACCACCAGGCAAGGUUCUGCCGGGGAAUUGCCUCCCAAGGAUGGGGUGGGAAGGCAUUCAAAGGAGAACUUUAAAAACCAACUUGAAACUGAAUCAACACUAGAACAUUUCACCUGAAAGAAGCUCAUUCAUUCAUCCUUAAAAGUUGUAUUUGCUUGCUUUUUUUGGCUUCCCAGGAGAUGAAUAUUAAAAUACUGCAAAGUUUUAAAAAGUCUGGCCAAAACGUUUCAUGUGGUGACUUUGGGUAGACCUCGCCUCAAUCGGAAGCAAACAUAGACCACACAAAUGGAAACUCCUGGAAGGAGAGCCAGGCCUCACUUCCUUUUAUUUAGAACCAAAUGAAACUUGACACUAAACAUCCAGAGGAAAUGAAUUAGGAUUUGAGUCCAGAUCUGCCUGACUCCCAAGCUAUUGUUUGGUUUACUGAGGUUUCCUAAGGUCUUACAUCUUUUUUCCGGAGGUUCCCAGGCUAGGAGUCCAAUCCAAGCUACAGUUGCUGGCCACGGCCACAGCCACAGCAACUUGGGAUCUAAGCUGUGUCUGCAACCUACACCACAGCUCACAGCAACACCAGAUCCUUAACCCACUGAGCAAGGCCAGGGAUCGAACCCGCAUCCUCAUGGAUCCUAGUCAGGUUCGUUAACUGCUGAACCACGGAGGGAGCUCCAAGUUCUCAUAUCUUGCAUGCUCUGCAUUAUCAUGUUUCUACGAGAUCAUCUUCCAUUAACGCAGGAUGUCAGAAAUUGAAAACCAUCCUUUAGUAAUAUGUAUCCAAUUUUGGGAGGAUAUCAGUGACAAAUAUGUGAGAAACAGAUUCAGAAUUGAUGACCUGAAGUCACAUUUGUGAGAAUCACCCUGCAAGCUGGAAACUGCUUCAUAUCACAGGCUGGGCACUGGGACCCAGAGCCCAACCAACCCUGGACCUGCCAUUUAUUGGGUGUGUGACCUCGGCUGAGUUUCUUAACUUGGCUGUGCCUCAGCUUCUGUACAAAACACAUGAAAAUAAUAAUAGUACCUACCUCACAGGGUGGUUUGAGGAUCCCAGGAGUUAAUAUUUGUACAUCACUUAGAAUAUUAUCUGGCACGUAGUAAGCACUAUAUGUUUAAUACAUAAAAAGUAUAAGUUUAUUAUUUUAUCCCAUGUUAUAUAGCAUCAUACAUCAGUUAAAAAUAUCUCAAAUAAAAUAUUGUACAAAAUGAAAAUAUGGCAACUUAAAAGCUUUUCAAAAAUUUACCUUUAAACUGCAGAGUGUUUUCCAUGUUGGCUAUUCUCUGGAAAUUUCUAAAAUUAGGAAACACGAAAUGCUGGCAGCAUUUAAGGGGAAGUUAUUCUUUCUUUUCUUUUCUUCCUUUCUUUUUUUUUUUUUUUUUUUUUUUUUUUGUCUUUUUGUCUUUUUAGGGCCACACCCGGGGCAUAUGGAGGUUCCCAGGCUAGGGGUCUAAUCAGAGCUGUAGCUGCCGGCCUACACUACAGCCACAGCAAUGCCAGAUCCGAGCUGCAUCUGCAACCUAUACCACAGCUCAAUGCCAGAUCCUUAACCCACUUAACGAGGCCAGGGAUCGAACCCACAACCUCAUGGUUCCUAGUUGGAUUCAUUUCUGUUGCGCCACUACGGGAACUCCAUAAGGGAAAGUUAUGCUUUAUUUAAGGUUUUCCCUGAUGCAUUUUGGUCAGUGCUUGUUAAGGCUUCUCAUAUUCUCUUUUCAUUUUUUUCCCUAUUUUUUGUCUUGUUUUGAUUUUUUUUAAGGCUUUAUAGUUUUUCUCUUUUUUCCAUAUUACAAACUAUUAAGUAGAUUUUCCUGUGCUAUACAGUAGGUUUUUGUUAAUAACAUAUACAGUAGUGUGUAUAUGUUAUUCCCAUCCUUCCCAUUCCUCUCUCCCCCUGAAUGGUUUCACUUAUGAUAACUCUAAGAUUGGUUUUGAAAUCUGUGUUUGUUUCUGUUUUAUAAAUGUUAUAUAAUUUUAUUUAAUUCUACAUAUAAGUAAUAUCAUAUGAUAUUUUUCUUUGAUUUACUUCACUCAGUUAUGAUAAUAUCUAGGUCCAUCCAUGUUACUGCAAAUGGCAUUAUUUCAUCCUUUUUUAUGGCUGACUGAUAUUCCAUUGUAUGUAUGUACCACACCUUCUUUAUCCAUUUCUCUGUUGAUGGACAUUUAGGUUGUUUCUAUGUCUUGGCUAGUGUGAAUAGUGCUGCAGUGAACAUUGGAGUGCAUAUAUCUUUUUGAAUUAUGGUUUUCUCCCUAUAUAUGUCCAGGAGUGGGAUUGUUGGAUCACAUGUAAUUCUAUUUUUAGUUUUUUAAGGGACCUCCAUACUGUUCUCUAUAGUGGUUGUACCAAUUUACAUUCCCACCAACAGUAUAAGAGGGUUCCUUUUUCUCCACACCCUGUCCAGCAUUUAUGGUUUGAGGACUUUUUGAUGAUGGCCAUUCUAACUGGGUGUGAGUGAUACCUGAUUUGUAUUUCUCUAUUAAUUAGUGAUGUUGAGUAUCUUCUCAUGUGUUUUUUGGCCAACUAUGUGUCUUCUUUGGAGAAAUAUCUGUUUAGAUUUUAUGCCCGGUUUUUGAUUGGGUUAUGAGGUUUUUUUUUUUUUUUGAUAUUUGUAUAUUUUGGAGAUUAAUCCCUUGUCAGUUGCUCUGUUUGCAAAGAUUUUUCUCCAAUUCUGUAGGUUGUCUUUUCAUUUUUUAUUGUUUCUUUUACUGUGCAAAAGCUUUUACUUAGGUCUUGUUGAUUUAUUUUUGUUCUUACUGAUAUUAUUCUGGGAGGUGGAUCAAACAAAAUAUUGCUGUGAUUUAUGUCAAAGAGUGUUCUGCCUAUGUUUUCCUCUGGGAGUUUUAUAGUUUCUGGCCUUACAUUUAAGUCCUUAAUCCAUUUUGAAUAUGACAUUUGAGAAGGUUCUAAUUUCAUUCUAUUAUAUAUAAAUGUCCAGUUUCCCAGCACCACUUUAUUGAAGAGACAGUCUUCCUCCACUGUUCUUGCCUCCUUUGUCAUAGACUAGUUGACCAUAGGUGCAUGGGUUUAUUUCUGGGAUUGCUGUCCUGUUCCACUGAUCUAUAUUUCUAUUUUUAUGCCAGGGCCUUACUGUUUUGAUGACUGUAGCUUUGUAGUACAGACUGAAGUCGGGAGUCUGAUUUCUCCAGGUCAAUUUUUCUUUUUUAAUAUUGCCUUGGAUAUUUGGGGUCUUUUGUGUUUCUAUACAAAUUUUAAAAUAUUUUGUUCUGUGAAGAAUGUCGUUGAUAACUUCAUAGGGAUUUCUUUUUUUUUGGCCACGCCCAUAGCAUGCAGAAGCUCCCAGGCCAGGGAUCAAGCCUGUGCCACAGCCCAGCGACCCUAGGCUCUGCAGUGACAAUGCUGGAUCCUUAACAUGCCACGCCACAAGGGAACUCCAUAUAAGCUCAUUUUAAAACCAGAUUUUCUUCCUAAUUAGCAAAUUAUCCUUGAAAUGCAUUUCCUUUAUGAUUUUUGUCCUCUCCUUGGACCUCAGGUGUUUACGCUUUUGGCCUUGCAUUUUGUCAGCUGCUUUUCUUAUUACACUUACCUAGUUUAAAGGCAGGUGUUUGGCCUUAGCCCCACUUUUAAUGCUAGUCCUCAGGAUCCAGUCCUGCUUUUCUGAAAGACUCACGUUGCCUGAUGCUGGAUCAUCCUCAGGAGUGACUGCAGAAGUGCUUUGCCAGAUUUGCAGUGGUACUGAGUGGGAUGGCAGGGAGCUUUGGCCUUAAAUUAACCAACAUUACACUUUCUUCAAAAUUAUUCCAAAUAACAGAGUAAUAGUCUUCAGAGUGUGGUCUCCGGGCCAGGAGCAUAGGCUUUGUUUGGGAACUUGUUAGAGAGGCAGGUGUCAGGCCAGCCCUGGACCAACUAAAUCAGAGACUGUUUCAACCAGAUCUCCAGGCCACGUGAGUGCACAGUCAAGUGCACAUUGCGUUUGGAAAGCUCUGGACUAAGUCAUGCACAUCAUCUGUCAUUAAUUCAAAGACUAGUGACCCAUUGCUUUCAGGCUCAGCUCUGGAAUCUGGCACACAAGGGUGCAAAAGUGAACAGUGUAGCCUGUUGUGGAUGGCCCAGCCCAGAAGUUAGUUUUAUUCUGAGCACAGCUUUGUUUCCUGCCACUUGUGGAAAGGAGGUCACUGGUCACCAGACACGGGAUAAGAGAAUAGAUAGUACUGGCCUGGGGGGGCAAAGAGCUUACUAGGGCAUAAUGGCUUGAUUCCUCUCCUCUGUGUUUUCUGAGUGGGGGAACUCUGACCUGUGCUCACAUCAUGUCUUGGGUUUCACCUUACUACCCUGUCUUCUAUGUGCUCAUCUUCCACUCCACCUGAGCUGGGGCAGAGCCGUGACUUCUUCCUCUUUGUAUCUCUAGCACCUAGCACAGGGCUUGAAGAAAAAAAGGUGCUUCACGAUGCCAUUGAAUGAAUGAGAGAGAGUCGAUUCUCCAGGAGGCAAACACACAGGAUAUUUAGUUGCUGUGAUGCUCUCUGUAAGAUGGGGAAGUGACCCGAGAUAUUCCUGCCCAGGUCCCAGAGGUUGGGGAAUGUUUUGGAGAUACGUUUUUGACUGGAGUUCCACUCUGACCUUUCUUGCCGAAUGAAACUUCAGCUACACCUAGAGCGAGCUGAUGAAAAUCGGGAGGAAAGGGGGCGAAGGAAGAACCCAACUCACUGACUCAGUUCUAACUCUCACCACUUAAUCACUUCCAGUAGCAACUGAAGUUUCAAUGCAAAUACCCCCAAGCAGCCGGCUUUGGUAUUUCCAGGCCCCACGUGAAGGUCUUCAAAUUGCUCAGACUGGAGUUUGUUCCCUCUUUAAAGAAAAACCCUUCUUUCUGGAAGUGACUUGGUACAUGUACCUAUAAAGGAAAUUCAUCCUGAGGCUGAGGCAGGCAGAAGGAAUCAAGGAACUCAAUUCAAGGAAGUUGCCGACGUGACUUUUAUUUCCCUCUUCUGUCACUUCCCUCUUUCCCAAGGCUUCCUCACUUCUACCUGUCCUGACAGGACCUUUAGAGUCUUGGAGGAAAUCAAAGUGUCUUAAAGGCUCCUGGUCUGCUGAACUGUUUUCUUUGAAAAUUUUGGUUCUUGUUUGCUUAGAAAUUCGAGGAAGACUUUCUCUAGACUAGAAUGUUUGGGUUCUAAAGUUUUUCUUUAGGGAACUCCAGGCUUCAGCCACCCAAACCAACGGCACAAAGGAAAACGAGUAGGUGUAAAAGAAAAAGAAAAAAAAAGAGAUGAAGAAUUGGAAGGAAAUCCAGAGGGUAAGAAACUGGGGCCAGCUACCUCCUGAUGUAUGCAGACAAUGGAAUCCACUCUGAAAGCUGAAUGAAGUCUGGAGAGCUGGGAGGCUGGGCCCAAGUGGGUCAGAAAAGGCCCCUCUGCUCCGUGAGCAUGGAAGGUGAUGCCUCUUCACAAAAGCAAGACCCCAAGAAGGCUGCACAAGAGUGGUCCACAUCCCUUUGUCCUGUUUCUCCAGCCCACCAGUACACAACUGGAGUGAUUUGUACAUUCGACACUAUUCCAGAGGGGAAAAGAGGCACAUCUGACUGAGACGUACUAAGGGCAUCAUUCCCAAAUGGGGAGCCAAUUUCCAACCUUUGUCCUUUGGGAUCAGAGAUGGAUCUUUCUCCCUCAAGCCCUCUUAUCUCUUCUCUGUGUUGGCAGAGGCACUGAACCUAACUGGCAUCCACGUGUUAGAUCAUGUAACACCUGUGUUCAGGUGCCCCGGGAUGGACAAAGAAUUUCAGUGAGGGGCCUGGAGCACCGGAGCGAAGACAGGACAGUAGAGGGGCCACCACAGUGCUCAGCUCUAGAUGACUGUGGCUGCUGGAGGGGGACAGAGCUGGCUUUGACCAGACAGUUCAGUUGAUAGUGAUACUCUUUGCAUAUGAAAGAUCCAUGAGGUGUUGGCUCCUUUUUUUGGUCUGAGAGGAAGGUGAACAUCUUAUUCUCUUUGACAUUUUUUUGUAGGUCAGGAAAGGAAUAAUAUAAUAGUAAUGUUUUCCUAGGUGUGAGCCGGAGAACAUGAGGUGUAUUGAUACACCAUUCUGUACUUUAUAGAGCGCCAAAAACUUUCCUUUACUCCUCUAUCUAGGCAAGAGAUGUAUUUUACAGAUAAAAACUUUGAAAGCAUCUACACCCAAACUUCACAAGUUUCCGAUUUCUUGUGAAAUCACUUGCUUCUCUAGAAUCAUUCAGUAGCAUUAGAUAGGGCUGAUGAAAAGGCUCUUCCAGUCUUUAUAAUCAAUUUGGUACUGCCACUAGGAACAAAACAGGCUGCUUUGCAGGUGGAUGGCAUUUCAAAAAUGUUAGCCACCUGAAGGCAAGCGUGUAUUCGCUAAGCUAACCACCUGCCUGUCCUGCAAGGUGAUCCUGACCAGGACAUUCUUUCUGGUCUUGUUCCUUCCCGUGUGAAAUACAGGAUGUUGUGCAACAGUUUGCAUUUUUCUUUAGCACUCUGUGCCUGGCACUCUGCUGUGCUUGUUACGUGGAUUGUCUUGUACAAUUUACCAAUGGCCGAGUUUUAUCAUCAGGGAAACAAAGGUGCAGAGGUGGGCACCUGCUAACACAUUAGUGGGGGGUCCUGUUCCCCAGCCCAUGUCCUCAGGAACUUCUAGUAUCAAAAUAUGAGUACAACUAACUCCUCUUGGCUAAAGCUUCCUAAAGCAGAAGUAAGGUCCUGGCUGAAUUUAAACCAGGAAGAUGAAAGCAAGCGACAAUGAAGAGCCUUCCAGCUGUAGGCCAACCAACUUGCUGCCACCCCAAGCCUGAAACUGGUGUUUCCUAUCACCUUGCAACAGCCUCCCCUCCCACGCACUGGGCCUGGGGCUGCCUGCAAAGCCUGGCCGGGAGGCUGGUGUAGACGGUGUGAGAAGCUGUUCUCUGAAAGAGUUCCGUGGUUGGCUGUGGUAAAUGCUCCCACACAAUUCUCCACCUCCACCUCCACUUGGGGUUCGAAUGACUCUCAGUGUAGGAGUCCCACAGCUGCCCGAAGAAGACAGUGAUCAGAAUUCUGUUUGUAAAAAUCCAUUUAAUAAAUAUACAUCUUAGAAGUACCAAAAUAAUUACCAACAAAAUACAUUAUGUACAGUAUUUACAGCAGGGUAACACAAACCUUGACAGGUCGUGACUUUUAACCCCACCCCACUGACAGGUUUAACAACACACCUGAUUCUAACAUUUCCCAGAUACACCUGGGCUCCACCACUGACUCCAUGGUGGUUCAACCAAGAAGCGCAAUAAAUAAAAGAGUCCCAUCAAAUUAGGGAUAACCUUUCCCCCAGGCCCCACCAAGGUGCCGUUUAAAAGAGGUUCUCUCUGCAUUCCGAUGAUCCUCCUUGGCGCCUUUCCAAAGUUCACAAGAAUAACAAAAUCGGGGCUAAUCCACCAGAGCAAAAUGUUUCAGGCCAGGCAGUGUGCGGUGUGGUUAUAAGUAUACCCUUUUUUCUUUUU